AUGUCUCUUCACCAGCAUUACAAGUUUUUAGCAGAGUAUCAAAAGGGAACAUAAUUUGAUACUAUGCAAAACUUUGAACUUGUGGAAGUAACA
rnacentral:miRNA from 1 species